UACUGUUCUGGCACCACUGCUGCAGAUGAGACAGCCCUCGAUGACGGAUAUUCUUUGACAGGCGAGAAACGUCAGCCACAACACGUCAGCGAAAGAUAGAAAGAUAAAAGUGUGAAACGUGCUAGAUGCUUUUUGAUUAUUAUUUUAUUAACUCCUGAAUCUUUAUUAGAAAAGUCAUCCUUAGUGAUUGAAUUCGUAAGACAUUUCUUUGCCUAAUAGUUACCGCGUGUACCGCGUAAAUUUGAAUAUUUGCUAAAAUUGUUGGUAAGAUACCCUAGUGCAGAUCUUGGUGAUUAGAAUCUAACUAUUCCUGAAUUUUAUAUUCUAAAAUUAGGAUCGACACAAAUUAUAGGAAUACGAAGCCCCACAAAUCACUUUGAGUAAAUAAGAAGUGUUUAGCAGGUAAACUAUACCGAUCUACCUAGUUUUACACUUACCGCUAAACACCAAGUGGUUGUUGUUCAUUACAGGGGAAUCUCGGAAUUAUCGUAGAUUAGCAUAGUACAAUCGUGAACCACAGACAUUGCUUCGGAUAUACUGAUUAAGGGGAAGACUGAAUGUAAGAAUUGAACUCGUGCUUAUAAUCUAUAUACAACUAAAAUAUAAACUUUUUUCAGCUUUGAGCUGCACUCCAGAAUUUAAAGCUGCUCCAAAGAACUUCUACCUAUCCGAACAAAUCUCAAAGAUUCAAUCGAGAUGUCGCUGGAGCGCGAAGGAUACGAUUGCAAGAAAUGCGAACAGCCGAAUACAGCUGAUAACAUGGUGAUGUGCGAUGCAUGCCUAGAUUGGUAUCAUCUGGGGUGCGCAGGCGUUUCGCCUGGAGUGGAGAAAAGACCGUGGCGCUGUGAAUCGUGCGCUCCACUCCCUCCUGCAACCGCACCAAAUAUUGACAAAGCGGAGAAGGGUAAGAGCUCACUCGUGAAGGGAAAAACUGCUGCUGGCAUCACAGUUCCGAUAAUUUCGGAAACGUCAUCUGUUGCGAACUCCAAGAAAAGUGGAAAAGCCCGAAAAACAAAAACAUCGGCACCGAUCGAAGGUGCUGCAAAAACCGUCUUACCAGCUAGUAUGCCGUCGGUUAACGACAAAACUCCGAAGAAACACCCGGAAAUUCCUAGAAGAGCCGAUACAGUGAAAGGAUCCGUGCGAUCCAGUGCUCAUAGCUCCCGAGCCCUAGCGCAGCUGUCGCUGCAGCGAUUAGAGGAGAAGCAGAAAAUAGAGGAGCAGAAGCUAGAAAUCCAACGACGAGAGCUACUGAAAGAAAGGGAACGUUUGCGUAAAGAAAAGGAACUAGAGGAGCAGGAAAAUGCGAUUAUGAGGAAGCAGCUGCAGAUUCGAGAACAAUACCUAGAGGAAAAGCUCGACCUGCAGGAGCAGCUGGUGGAGGACGAAGCGUGCUCGCAGUACACGUCCCGCAGUAGAAAAUCUUUGACACGGAAAUGGCUUGAGAACCAACAGAUACGCGAUGACGACGAGGUGAAAAAAUUGGCUGGCGCGGUAGAACCGUCUAUAUCAGGCAAAGCUUCUUCUGAAGAAUCCGUAGACGAGGAAGAAGAAGCAGCGGUAUACACUGCAUCGGUUGAAGUAAACAGCAAACUGAAAGUUCCAAUAAGAAAUGUUACGAGAGGGGCGGAUAAAAUGCCUACAGAAUGCGGGCCUGCUUAUGGAACGGCGACAAAAGUGGACGAUCAAGCAGCCCGCUUAUCACAACCGACAGCCAAUCAGAUUGCAGCGAGACAACUUUGGCCGAAAAACCUGCCGGCAUUCUCGGGCGAUCCCGAGGAAUGGCCUAUUUUUUAUAGUAGUUACCUAGACUCUAAUACUGCGUGUGGAUACUCAUCGGUCGAGAACAUUAUUCGACUGAGGGAGUGUCUCAAGGGACCAGCGCGUGAAGCUGUGGUGACGAAACUGAUGUUCCCACAUGCGGUACCUUCAAUAAUGGAGACUCUUCGAAGACUAUACGGACGGCCAGAGCUGCUGGUGAAGAACUUGCUUGGGAAAGUACGGCGCUUGGAUGCUCCAAAGCCUGAACGACUUGAUAGCCUGAUUAACUUCGGCAUGGCAGUUCAACAACUUUGCGACCAUCUCGAGGCCGCAAACCUGCGCGGCCACAUGACGAACCCAACGUUAUUGGAGGAACUCGUGGAGAAGUUGCCGGCUACUAUUAAGCUUGAUUGGGUCAGACACAAGCGAGCCUUUGUGGAUCCGUCGCUGAAGGAAUUUGGCGAAUUUAUGGAUAGGCUAGUAAUAGACGCCAGCGAGGUGACAACCGUGAUUCCCCUAAAAAACGGUGGGGUCAGUUCUGAUAGAAUGAAACAGAAUCAAAGAGUCCAUAUUAAUACCCACAAUGAGCACUCUGAUACUCCUAUCGAACCUCAACGAAAACCAUGCCCAAUCUGUUCCAAGUUGGAUCACCGUGUACGGAACUGCGAUGAGUUCCGGCAAAUGCAUCUAGAAGCACGUUUGGAAGCGGUACAUAGGAACAGACUGUGUGAGGUGUGUCUUAUUAAUCAUGGCAACUGGCCGUGCAAGUCGAGGUAUUACUGUAACGUUGGAAAUUGCCGUGCGCGGCAUCACUCUUGGCUACAUCGUGAAGAAACAGCGCCAACAGUACAAGCUGACUGCAAAGCACAUCGAAUCGCUCCAUCCGCCGUUCUAUUUCGUGUGGUAGCAGUCACGCUGUUCAACGGAACGCGAAGUAUUGAUACAUUCGCCUUCUUAGACGAAGGCUCCUCUCAUUCUCUGGUAGAUGCUAGUAUCGCACGCUGCCUUGGAAUCGUUGGUGUUCCGGAGCCGUUAGAAUUAACGUGGACCUCUAGCGUGGUCCGUAAAGAAAGAUUGUCAGAACGAGUCGAUCUGAUGAUUUCAGCUAGAGGAGGCCAACAGCGAUAUAAACUGCCGUCUGUGCAUACAGUGAAAGCUCUAAAUCUACCGAAACAAGACCUGCCGUUAGAAGAGAUGGCCGAACGAUUCAAGCACCUCAAGGAUGUCGCAAUGUCUUCUUUCCAAAACGCGGAACCAAAACUUCUCAUCGGUUUGCACCAUCUGGACCUUUUCACACCUAUCGAGAGUCGCGUGGGCGAGCCAGGUGAGCCUAUCGCAGUUAGAUGUGCGCUUGGCUGGACAAUUUACGGACCGUGCGGAAGCAAGCAAAGUACAGAUCCAUUUCUGGCAUUUCACCGGAGCAUGCUUGACCAGGAGUUGAAUGAGAUGGUCCGACAACAAUUCACGUUAGAAGAUACUGGAAUCCAUCCAGUUCCGCUUUUGGAGUCGAAAGAAGACGCUCGCGCUCGUCAGCUAUUGGAGACGACCACGGUUCGAGAGAAUGGAAGAUUUACUACCGGUCUUCUUUGGAAAAGCGAUAAUAUUUGCUUCCCGGAUAGUUUACCCAUGGCGACUAAAAGGCUGAAAUCCCUAGAAUCGAAAUUGGCCAAAGAUCCAGAACUGCGCCACAACGUGAACCAGCAAAUUCUUGAGUACAUCGAGAAUAACUACGCCCACAAAGCGACGCAAGAAGAGUUAAGAACGGCAAAUCCCAGCAGAGUGUGGUAUCUACCACUCAACGUAGUUGCCCACCCAAGAAAACCGAACAAAAAGCGUCUUGUUUGGGACGCCUCUGCAACCGUGAGUGGAGUGUCCUUAAAUUCACAACUUUUAAAGGGACCAGAUUUGUUGGUGCUGCUUCCAGGCGUAAUCUGCAAAUUUCGCGAAAGGCGCAUCGCUUUUGGAGGGGACAUUGAAAAAAUGUUCCAUCAAAUUCGAAUUAGACCAGAAGACACUCACUCUCAACGAUUUCUAUUUCGAUUUGAUGUGAACCAACCACCAGAUGUUUACAUAAUGAACGUUGCAACAUUUGGUGCCACUUGUUCACCAUGCUCGGCGCAGCAUGUUAUGCAUCGAAAUGCAGACGAAAAUGCGAAAGAAUUUCCGGAAGCAUCGAUGGCGAUAAAGCAGAAAACAUAUAUGGACGAUUACUUUGAUAGCACCGACACACCUGAAGAAGCAUCCGAACGUGCGCUACAAGUGAAGCUGAUCCAUUCGAGAGGUGGUUUUAAUAUGCGCAACUGGGUCAGCAAUAGCAUCGAUGUGCUGCGGCACCUGGGAGAAGUGUCAGAACAAAGGCUGUUGUCCAUCGAUUGCAGCCGGGAAGAAAAGCAACAACGCGUGCUUGGAAUAGCGUGGGACCCGGAGAAGGAUAUAUUUGUAUUCUCCACGAGCUGGCACAAUGACCUCGUUCCAUACGUGCUGGGAGAGCUGCGACCAUCCAAACGAAUUGUGCUGAGAAUCAUCAUGAGCCUCUUUGACCCUUUAGGGUUACUGGCACCAUUCUUAAUCCAUGGGCGAAUGUUGAUUCAAGAUCUUUGGCGUCUUGGACAAGACUGGGACACCAAGGUUGGCGAUAAGGAGUUCGAAAAGUGGCGACGAUGGACUACGUUGCUUCCUGGUAUUAGUAGCCUGGAGAUACCUCGAUGUUACUUUGGAGACGCUCAUCCUAGCUCGUAUGAAUCAUUGCAACUGCAUAUCUUCACAGACGCCAGCGAAUUUGGCUACGGAUGCGCAGCUUACUUUCGGAUCGUUUCCAACGGGGAGGUAAGAUGUUCAUUGGUGAUGGCGCGCAGUAAAGUGGCCCCACUUAAGUAUCAAUCUAUCCCGCGAAUGGAACUGCAGGCGGCUUUAUUGGGAGCAAGAAUGUUGCACACCGUGAGUGAGAAUCACACGCUGUCCAUCAAGGAAAAGUAUAUACAUACUGACGCUGAAGUGGUCCUAGCUUGGAUUCGCUCGCAGCAUAGGAACUACAAGCAAUUUGUCGCGCAUAGAGUAGGUGAAAUCUUAACUCUUACGCGUCCUGAGAACUGGCGAUAUGUCCCGUCGAAGGAAAACUUAGCAGAUUGCUUGACGAAGUGGGGAAAGGAUACAGAACCCGACUCGAAUGGAAGAUGGUUUGAUGGAAGGAACUCGUUUCUCUAUUCUGAGAUAAAUUACUGGCCAAAACAGAAGCCGAUUGCAGAAACCAGUGAGGAAAUAAGAGCUCAUCUCCUACUUCAUCACAUUACGGUUCCUUCCGGAUGCCUGGUAGACGUUGGGCGGUUCUCGAAGUGGAACGUGUUGCUCCGCACUGUGGCACUAGUGAAUCGUUUUAUCUCGAACUGUCGUAGGAAAAUACAAGGGCUGCCCAUCGAAGUUUUCAGAGCCACCGAAGCUCAAGGAAAGAUACUAUUGCGAGCGAACCGAGUGGUCAUAGUUCCUUUACGGCAAGACGAAUACUUAAAGGCAGAACAUUAUCUUUGGCAAGUGGCACAAAACGCUUUCUAUCCGGACGAAACUAAAACCCUGAAGAACAACCGAGAUGAGCCGCUGCUAGAAAAAUGGGUGAACAUCGAAAAAUCCAGCCCGUUAUACAGAUUAUCUCCCUUUGAUGAUCAGUUUGGGGUGCUUAGAGUCGAAGGUCGGACAGCCAAUGCCAGCUAUGCAACCUUUGAUUCGCGUUUUCCAGUGAUAUUGCCAAAAGACCAUCCAAUUACCGCCUUAUUGUUGAAUAGCUACCACUGUCGGUAUGGACAUGCUAACCGCGAAACGAUAGUGAACGAGGUUCGACAACGUUUUCACAUAUUCAACUUGCGAUCGACGGUAAACAAAGUGAUGAAAAAAUGUCAGCGCUGCAAGGUAACAAAGUGUCGACCGCUGAAUCCUCGAAUGGCACCGCUUCCUGAAGAACGUUUAACACCGUUCAUAAGACCAUUCAGUUACGUAGGCGUGGACUAUCUUGGUCCUCUGGAAACAUCUGUCGGACGUAGGAAAGAGAAGCGAUAUGUGGCUGUUUUCACGUGUCUCGUUACGCGGGCGGUUCAUCUGGAGGUCGCGUACAACCUUUCUACUGACUCUUGCAUCCUGGCCGUGAGGAGAUUCGUACGUAGACGAGGACCACCGGUGGAGAUUUUUUCGGACAACGGCACCAACUUCGUUGGUGCGAGUAACGAACUGAAGGAACAAAUUAGAUGCAUCAAUAUCGACUGCGCUGAUACCUUCACAGAUGCGCGCACCAAAUGGACAUUUAAUCCGCCCUCUGCACCACAUAUGGGUGGUGUAUGGGAACGGAUGGUAAGGAGUGUAAAGGAAGCAAUUCGUGCGCUGGAUGAUGGGCGUAAGCUCAACGACGAGAUAUUACAAACGGUUUUAGUAGAGGCGGAGGGCUUCAUCAAUUCCAGACCUCUAACCUAUAUGCCCCAGGGAUCGGCGGACUUCGAGGCGAUUACACCCAACCAUUUUUUGUUGGGCAAUUCAUCUGGAGCUCAGGACCCACUUAGAGCGCCAGUGGACAUGGCCGCCGCAUUGAGAAGCAGUUACCAGCGGUCGCAAUUUUUGUCAGACGCAGUUUGGAAUCGCUGGUUGAAGGAGUAUUUUCCAACCUUGAACAAACGGUCCAAGUGGUUUGCGGAGAGCAAACCGGUGCAGGUCGGUGACUUGGUCUAUGUAGCAGAGGGGACACGGCGAACAUGGCUACGAGGCAUAGUCCAACAGGUGAUCAUGGGAAGGGACGGAAGAAUACGUCAAGCGGUAGUUCGAACAGCUGGAGGCAAGGAACUGAAGCGACCAAUAGUGAAACUGGCCGUCAUGGAAGUGGCUGGUAGUGAAUCCUGCAAGAACCCAGUCGGUUCUCACCAUGAUCCACGGGGCGGGGGAUGUUCUGGCACCACUGCUGCAGAUGAGACAGCCCUCGAUGACGGAUAUUCUUUGACAGGCGAGAAACGUCAGCCACAACACUUCAGCGAAAGAUAGAAAGAUAAAAGUGUGAAACGUGCUAGAUGCUUUUUGAUUAUUAUUUUAUUAACUCCUGAAUCUUUAUUAGAAAAGUCAUCCUUAGUGAUUGAAUUCGUAAGACAUUUCUUUGCCUAAUAGUUACCGCGUGUACCGCGUAAAUUUGAAUAUUUGCUAAAAUUGUUGGUAAGAUACCCUAGUGCAGAUCUUGGUGAUUAGAAUCUAACUAUUCCUGAAUUUUAUAUUCUAAAAUUAGGAUCGACACAAAUUAUAGGAAUACGAAGCCCCACAAAUCACUUUGAGUAAAUAAGAAGUGUUUAGCAGGGGAAUCUCGGAAUUAUCGUAGAUUAGCAUAGUACAAUCGUGAACCACAGACAUUGCUUCGGAUAUACUGAUUAAGGGGAAGACUGAAUGUAAGAAUUGAACUCGUGCUUAUAAUCUAUAUACAACUAAAAUAUAAACUUUUUUCAGCUUUGAGCUGCACUCCAGAAUUUAAAGCUGCUCCAAAGAACUUCUACCUAUCCGAA